rnacentral:tRNA from 1 species
GGAGGGUUGCCUGAGUGGUUAAAGGAACGGUUUGCUAAACCGUGACGGUGUCAAAGCCGUCCGUGGGUUCGAAUCCCACACCCUCCG